rnacentral:rRNA from 1 species
CGAACGGGUGAGUAAUGCGUGACCAACCUGCCCCAUGCUCCAGAAUAGCUCUUGGAAACGGGUGGUAAUGCUGGAUGCUCCAACUUGACGCAUGUCUUGUUGGGAAAGUGUUUAGUGGCAUGGGAUGGGGUCGCGUCCUAUCAGCUUGUAGGCGGGGUAAUGGCCCACCUAGGCUUCGACGGGUAGCCGGCCUGAGAGGGCGGACGGCACAUUGGGACUGAGAUACGGCCCAGACUCCUACGGGAGGCAGCAGUU